rnacentral:rRNA from 1 species
UACGUAGGCGGAAAACUAAGUCAGUGGUGAAAUCCUGCAGCUUAACUGUAGAACUGUCAUUGAUACUGGUUUUCUUGAAUACAGUUGAGGUAGGCGGAAUGUGUAAUGUAGCGGUGAAAUGCUUAGAUAUUACAUAGAAUACCGAUUGCGAAGGCAGCUUACUAAGCUAUGAUUGACGCUGAGGUACGAAAGCGUGGGGAGCGAACAGGAUUAGAUACCCUGGUAGUCC